rnacentral:rRNA from 1 species
CCCUUAGAUGUUCUGGGCCGCACGCGCGCUACACUGACGGAGGCAGCGAGCGUGUCCUUCGCCGGCAGGUGCGGGCAAUCUUGCGAGUCUCCGUCGUGCUGGGGAUAGAUGGUUGCAAUUGUCGAUCUUGAACGAGGAAUUCCUAGUAAGCGCGAGUCAUCAGCUCGCGCUGAUUACGUCCCUGCCCUUUGUACACACCGCCCGUCGCUACUACAGAGUGCCCGUGUCCAAGAAACGGUCGGACCUGUGCGGCCUCUCCGGGCGACCGGAGGGCCGUUACGGGGAAGACCCUUUAUUUGACGUGGGUCGAUGAAGUAAAAGUCGUAACA